rnacentral:rRNA from 2 species
UUGAUGGUGCUUGCACCUGAUUGAUUUUGGUCGCCAACGAGUGGCGGACGGGUGAGUAACACGUAGGUAACCUGCCCAGAAGCGGGGGACAACAUUUGGAAACAGAUGCUAAUACCGCAUAACAACGUUGUUCGCAUGAACAACGCUUAAAAGAUGGCUUCUCGCUAUCACUUCUGGAUGGACCUGCGGUGCAUUAGCUUGUUGGUGGGGUAACGGCCUACCAAGGCGAUGAUGCAUAGCCGAGUUGAGAGACUGAUCGGCCACAAUGGGACUGAGACACGGCCCAUACUCCUACGGGAGGCAGCAGUAGGGAAUCUUCCACAAUGGGCGCAAGCCUGAUGGAGCAACACCGCGUGAGUGAAGAAGGGUUUCGGCUCGUAAAGCUCUGUUGUUAAAGAAGAACACGUAUGAGAGUAACUGUUCAUACGUUGACGGUAUUUAACCAGAAAGUCACGGCUAACUACGUGCCAGCAGCCGCGGUAAUACGUAGGUGGCAAGCGUUAUCCGGAUUUAUUGGGCGUAAAGAGAGUGCAGGCGGUUUUCUAAGUCUGAUGUGAAAGCCUUCGGCUUAACCGGAGAAGUGCAUCGGAACUGGAUAACUUGAGUGCAGAAGAGGGUAGUGGAACUCCAUGUGUAGCGGUGGAAUGCGUAGAUAUAUGGAAGAACACCAGUGGCGAAGGCGGCUACCUGGUCUGCAACUGACGCUGAGACUCGAAAGCAUGGGUAGCGAACAGGAUUAGAUACCCUGGUAGUCCAUGCCGUAAACGAUGAGUGCUAGGUGUUGGAGGGUUUCCGCCCUUCAGUGCCGGAGCUAACGCAUUAAGCACUCCGCCUGGGGAGUACGACCGCAAGGUUGAAACUCAAAGGAAUUGACGGGGGCCCGCACAAGCGGUGGAGCAUGUGGUUUAAUUCGAAGCUACGCGAAGAACCUUACCAGGUCUUGACAUCUUGCGCCAACCCUAGAGAUAGGGCGUUUCCUUCGGGAACGCAAUGACAGGUGGUGCAUGGUCGUCGUCAGCUCGUGUCGUGAGAUGUUGGGUUAAGUCCCGCAACGAGCGCAACCCUUGUUACUAGUUGCCAGCAUUAAGUUGGGCACUCUAGUGAGACUGCCGGUGACAAACCGGAGGAAGGUGGGGACGACGUCAGAUCAUCAUGCCCCUUAUGACCUGGGCUACACACGUGCUACAAUGGACGGUACAACGAGUCGCGAACUCGCGAGGGCAAGCAAAUCUCUUAAAACCGUUCUCAGUUCGGACUGCAGGCUGCAACUCGCCUGCACGAAGUCGGAAUCGCU